rnacentral:miRNA from 1 species
UUAUGUGUGUGUGAUUGGUCGCU